CCUACGGGAGGCAGCAGUGGGGAAUAUUGGACAAUGGGCGAAAGCCUGAUCCAGCAAUGCCGCGUGUGUGAAGAAGGCCUGCGGGUUGUAAAGCACUUUCAGUUGGGAAGAUGAUGACGUUACCAACAGAAGAAGCACCGGCUAAAUCCGUGCCAGCAGCCGCGGUAAUAUGGAUGGUGCGAGCGUUAAUCGGAAUUACUGGGCGUAAAGCGCGCGUAGGCGGCUAAGUCAGUCAGAAGUGAAAGCCCCGGGCUCAACCUGGGAAUUGCUUUUGAUACUGCUUAGCUAGAGUUUGGUAGAGGAUAGUGGAAUUCCAGGUGUAGCGGUGAAAUGCGUAGAUAUCUGGAGGAACAUCAGUGGCGAAGGCGACUGUCUGGACCAAAACUGACGCUGAGGUGCGAAAGCGUGGGUAGCAAACAGGAUUAGAUACCCUGGUAG
rnacentral:rRNA from 1 species